rnacentral:rRNA from 1 species
UACGAAGGGGGCUAGCGUUGUUCGGAAUUACUGGGCGUAAAGCGCGCGUAGGCGGCGAUACAAGUCAGGGGUGAAAUGCCAAGGCUCAACCUUGGAACUGCCUUUGAAACUGUAUCGCUGGAGUAUUGGAGGGGAGUGCGGAAUUCCUAAUGUAGAGGUGAAAUUCGUAGAUAUUCGCAAGAACACCAGUGGCGAAGGCGGCUUACUGGUCCGGUUCUGACGCUGAGGCGCGAAAGCGUGGGGAGCAAACAGG